GACAGAUAUUUCGCGAGCUG
rnacentral:miRNA from 1 species